rnacentral:misc_RNA from 1 species
AAGUCGUAACAAGGUCUCCGUAGGUGAACCUGCGGAGGGAUCAUUAACACAAGUGAGCAACACCAGUGACGGCACUCGAAAGAGCACCAAUGCUGGUGUUGACACUUUUCUCAACACCCAUCGAACGUGAACUACUAUGACCCUUUUUUUCCUUCGCAGCAGCGUCUCGCUUGCUGUGAUAUUUUCAUUUUUUGAAAUGAAACCCUUUCCAAUGUUUUUUUAACACUUGUAACUGUGCUGGAGCUGUACGUUAGUGCAAACUAGCGUGUGUGUCUCUCUGAACUAUUACGAACUAUAAUGAGUACAACUCUUAGCAACGGAUAUCUUGGUUCUC